rnacentral:rRNA from 1 species
UGUACACGCUGUGACUAGCAUAUCAAUAAGCGGAGGAAAAGAAACUAACAAGGAUUCCCUCAGUAACGGCGAGUGAAGCGGGAAGAGCUCAAAUUUGAAAUCUUGAAAGGUCACCUUUCACGAAUUGUAGUUUAAAGAAGUGUUUUCUGUUACGAUCGUAAUAUAAGUUCUUUGGAAUAGGACAUCACAGAGGGUGAGAAUCCCGUCUAUGAUUGCGAUUUGUAGCUUUGUGAUACACUUUCAAAGAGUCGGGUUGUUUGGGAAUGCAGCCCAAAACGGGAGGUAAAUUUCUUCUAAGGCUAAAUAUUGGCGAGAGACCGAUAGCGAACAAGUACCGUGGGGGAAAGAUGAAAAGAACUUUGAAAAGAGAGUUAAACAGUACGUGAAAUUGUCAAAAGGGAAGCGUUUGACACCAGUGUUGUUUUCUCGAAAAUCAAUUAAAAAUGGCUCGAUUUUGUAUUGCUGAGACCUUAAAAGCUCACUGUACAUUUUUCGUGUCUUUUUUAAUGCACUUUUCGUUUAACAAGUCAACAUCAGUUUCUUUUGUUGUAAAAGGGUCAUUGGAAGGUGGCUUUCUUUUCGGAGAAAGUGUUUAUAGCCUUUGGCCUCUGCAAUCGGAGAGUCUGAGGUCUGCAGCGUAGACUCUUCGGGGUUAGAUACAUUUGUGCUAAGUUAUAGCUUUUUAUAGACAACUUGUUGACUAUAAUUAGUCUUGUAGCUUACUCGCUUAUGCUAUUUUACCUACGCUUAGGAUGUUGAGUAGCGACAUACGCAC